rnacentral:rRNA from 1 species
AACGAACGCUGGCGGCAUGCCUAACACAUGCAAGUCGAACGAUCCCUUCGGGGAUAGUGGCGCACGGGUGCGUAACGCGUGGGAACCUGCCCUUAGGUUCGGAAUAACUCAGAGAAAUUUGAGCUAAUACCGGAUAAUGUCUUCGGACCAAAGAUUUAUCGCCUUUGGAUGGGCCCGCGUUGGAUUAGCUAGUUGGUGGGGUAAAGGCCUACCAAGGCGACGAUCCAUAGCUGGUCUGAGAGGAUGAUCAGCCACACUGGGACUGAGACACGGCCCAGACUCCUACGGGAGGCAGCAGUGGGGAAUAUUGGACAAUGGGCGAGAGCCUGAUCCAGCAAUGCCGCGUGAGUGAUGAAGGCCUUAGGGUUGUAAAGCUCUUUUACCCGGGAUGAUAAUGACAGUACCGGGAGAAUAAGCCCCGGCUAACUCCGUG